UACGGAGGGGACUAGCGUUGUUCGGAAUUACUGGGCGUAAAGCGCACGUAGGCGGAUUUGUAAGUCAGGGGUGAAAUCCUGGAGCUCAACUCCAGAACUGCCUUUGAUACUGGCGAGCUUGAGUCCGGGAGAGGUGAGUGGAACUGCGAGUGUAGAGGUGAAAUUCGUAGAUAUUCGCAAGAACACCAGUGGCGAAGGCGGCUCACUGGCCCGGUACUGACGCUGAGGUGCGAAAGCGUGGGGAGCAAACAGG
rnacentral:rRNA from 1 species